rnacentral:rRNA from 1 species
AGGACGAACGCUGGCGGCGUGCUUAACACAUGCAAGUCGAACGGAAAGGCCCUUUCGGGGGUACUCGAGUGGCGAACGGGUGAGUAACACGUGGGUGAUCUGCCCUGCACUUCGGGAUAAGCUUGGGAAACUGGGUCUAAUACCGGAUAGGACUACGAAUCGCAUGGUUUGUGGUGGAAAGCUUUUGCGGUGUGGGAUGGGCCCGCGGCCUAUCAGCUUGUUGGUGGGGUGAUGGCCUACCAAGGCGACGACGGGU